GCCUCUGUGGUGUAGUUGGUUAUCACGUGAGUCUCAUAUUCAUGUCCUAUUUCAUAUAUGAUAGGUAGCAAAAACUACUUAGCGAUCUCAAGGUCGCCAGUUCGAUCCUGGCCGGGGGCA
rnacentral:tRNA from 1 species